rnacentral:rRNA from 1 species
AAAUAGAUACCCCCGGUAGUCCACGCCGUAAACGAUGGAUGCUAGCUGUUAUGCGUAUCGACCCGUGUAGUAGCGAAGCUAACGCGUUAAGCAUCCCGCCUGGGGAGUACGAACGCAAGUUUAAAACUCAAAGGAAUUGACGGGGACCCGCACAAGCGGUGGAGCGUGUUCUUUAAUUCGAGGCUAAGCGAAGAACCUUACCAGGGCUUGACAUCCUUGGAAUUUCUCCGAAAGGAGAGAGUACUUUAUUGGACCAAGUGACAGGUGCUGCAUGGCCGUCGUCAGCUCGUGUCGUGAGAUGUUUGGUUAAGUCCAUUAACGAGCGCAACCCUUAUGAAUAGUUGUAUUUUUUCUAUUCAGACUGCCCCGGUAACGGGGAGGAAGGGGGGGUAUGAUGUCAGGUCAGUAUUGCCCUUACGCCCUGGGCUGGAAACGCGCUACAAUGGCCGGUACAAUGCGCUGCCAACCCGCGAGGGGGAGCAAAUCGCAUCAAAGCCGGUCCCAGUUCGGAUAAGAGGCUGAAACUCGCCUCUUUGAAGCCGGAAUCGCUAGUAAUCGU